rnacentral:rRNA from 1 species
CAGUAGCCACGGGAAUACGUAGGUGGCAAGCGUUGUCCGGAAUUAUUGGGCGUAAAGGGUGUGCAGACGGCUUAUUAAGUCACUUGUUAAAUUCUUCGGCCUAACUGAAGGUCUGCAAGUGAUACUGAUGAGCUAGAGGGUGGAAGAGAGAAGUGGAAUUCUCGGAGUAGCGGUAAAAUGCGUAGAUCUCGAGAGGAACACCAAUGGCGAAGGCAGCUUCUUGGUCCAUUCCUGACGUUCAUACACGAAAGCGUGGGGAGCAAACAGGAUUAGAUACCCCGGUAGUCCCUGUCUCUUAUAU